CUUUCCCCUUUCCCCUCCCUCGACACUCCCACUGAUGGGCUGUGACGAGAGUGCGUGAGUGCGAGCGAGGCAGCGAGCGGCCCCCCUCCCUCCCUCCCGUGCUCUCUGCCUACCAACCCUGAAAAGCAAGCACUCACGGGCGGGGCCUGGCCGCCGCCGCCACCACCACCCCACCUCGGCGGCCCGGGCCGAGCGCCACCCCGCCCCAAAUGCAUCCCGCCUUCCGCCGCUGCCUUCUCCUCUCCCUCGGCCUCAUCUCGGCCUCCCUCCUCGCGCCUCGGGCGGGCGCUGGAGAUGCCGCGGCAAUGCAGGCGCUGCGCCGGGGGCUGGCGCCGCCGGACUGGGCCGCCGCGCCGGCGGACCACUGCGCCUGGCGCGGCGUCACGUGCGGCGGCGCCCGCGAGGUCACCGCGGUCGAGCUGCCCCGCCGGGGCCUCCGCGGCGACUUCUCGGCCGCCGCCGGGCUCCGCGCGCUGGCGCGGCUCGAUCUCUCCUUCAACGCGCUCUCCGGGGCCGUCCCCGCGGCGCUCGGCGCGCUCGCCCGCCUCGAGCUCCUCGACCUCUCCAUGAACAGGCUCUCCGGCCCCAUCCCGCCCGCCCUCGGCCUCGCCGCCGGCCUCAAGUUCCUGAACCUCUCCAACAACGCCCUCUCCGGCUCCAUCCCCGACGAGCUCAGGGGCCUCAAGGAGCUCCAGGAAGUGCAGAUUUCGGCCAACAACCUCACCGGCGCCAUCCCCGGCUGGCUCGCCGGCCUCCCCGGCCUCCGCGUGCUCUCCGCUUACGAGAACGCGCUCUCGGGGCCGAUCCCGCCCGGGCUCGGGCUCUCGUCCAAUCUCCAGGUGCUCAACCUCCACUCCAACGGCCUCGAGGGGAGCAUACCGAGCAGCCUCUUCGACCUUGGCAAUCUGCAGGUUCUGAUCCUCACCGUGAAUAGGCUCAACGGCACCAUCCCGGAUUCAAUCGGCCGGUGCCUCGGCCUAUCCAACGUGCGCAUCGGCAACAAUCGCCUCGCGGGCGCCAUCCCGGCAUCCAUUGGCGACGCCACCAGCCUGACCUACUUUGAGGCCGACAGCAACCAGCUGUCCGGCAGCAUCCCCGCUCAGUUUGCACGCUGCGCCAACCUGACGCUGCUGAAUUUGGCCUACAACCGCCUUGUCGGCGAGGUGCCGGACAUGCUUGGGGAGCUGAGAAACCUGCAAGAGCUCAUCAUCUCCGGCAAUGGCCUCGGUGGCGAGUACCCGAGGUCCAUUCUGCGGUGCCGGAACUUGAGCAAGCUGGACUUGAGCUACAACGCUUUCCGCGGCGGCUUGCCAGACACCAUCUGCAACGGAUCCAGGCUGCAGUUUCUUGUGCUCGAUCAUAACGAGUUCUCGGGCAGCAUCCCGCACGGUAUCGGUGGCUGCAGCCGGCUUCUCGAGCUGCAGCUUGCCAACAACAACCUGAGUGGUGAGAUACCAGCCGAAAUGGGCAAGAUCAAGAGCUUACAGAUUGCGCUGAACCUCAGCUUCAAUCACCUUUCAGGGCCGCUGCCCCGUGAGCUUGGGCGGCUCGAUAAGCUCGUGGCGCUGGAUUUAUCUAGCAAUGAGAUAUCUGGUGAGAUCCCUGCUGACAUGAGAGGGAUGCUGAGCUUGAUAGUAGUCAACCUGUCAAACAACCGGCUCCGUGGUGCCAUACCGGUGUUCGGGCCGUUUCAGAAGAGUGCAGGGUCCAGUUUCUCCGGCAAUGCCAAGCUGUGCGGCGACCCGCUGGAUGUGGACUGUGGACCGAUUUAUGGCUCCAAUUAUGGAUCGGACCACAGGAAGAUAUCUUACAGGGUGGCCCUGGCAGUUGCUGGGUCCUGCGUGCUCAUCUUCUCAGUGGUAUCAUUGGUGGUCACGUUGUUCAUGUGGCGUGAGAGGCAGGAGAAGGAGGCCGACGCAAAGAAGGCCGAGGCAGGGGAGGCGGUCGUCGUCGAAGCGAGGCAUGUCAUGGCUUCAAGUGUGUUCAUUGAGAGCUUGCAGCAGGCCAUUGAUUUCCAGACCUGUGUCCAGGCGACGUUCAAGGACGCCAGUGCACUGAGGAGCGGCACGUUCAGCACGACCUACAAGGCUGUCAUGCCAUCAGGCAUGGUGGUGUGUGUGAAGAAGCUGAAGUCGGUCGACCGCGCGGUCGUCCACCACCAGGCCAAGAUGAUCCGGGAGCUCGAGCGACUCGCGCACAUAAACCAUCCCAACCUUGUGCGUCCCAUUGGGUAUGUCAUCUACGAGGAUGUUGCGUUGCUGCUGCAGUAUGACAUGCCGAAUGGAACAUUGCUUCAGCUGCUGCACGGUUCAAACAACUGUGAUGGUGACCAAGAGAAGCCUGACUGGCCAAAGCUGUUGUCAAUCGCGAUUGGCGUCGCCGAAGGGCUGGCCUUCCUCCACCAGAUUGCCACCAUCCACCUCGAUAUUUCUUCGGGUAAUGUCUUCCUUGACUCGCACUACAACGCGCUUCUUGGCGAAGUUGAGAUCUCCAAGCUGCUGGACCCUUCAAAGGGCACUGCCAGCAUCAGCGCGGUAGCUGGCACAUUUGGUUAUAUACCUCCAGAGUAUGCCUACUCAAUGCAGGUUACUGUACCAGGAAAUGUGUACAGCUUCGGGGUACUGCUGUUGGAGAUCCUGACGUCCAAGAUGCCGGUGGACGAGGAGUUUGGCGAGGGUGUGGACCUUGUCAAGUGGGUGCACUCUGCGCCGGAGAGGGGGGAGACGCCGGAGCAGAUCAUGGACCCGAGGCUGAGCACCGUGUCGUUUGCGUGGCGGAGGCAGAUGCUCGCCGUGCUCAAGGUCGCGAUGCUAUGCACGGAGCGCGCCCCGGCGAAGCGGCCCAAGAUGAAGAAGGCUGUAGAGAUGCUGCAGGAGGCCAAGAACAGCUGACCGCUCACUGCAUCCUCUUGCUGAAUGCUAAGAUUGCUCCUACGGAGACGAAAUGACAAGCAUAAAGAACAUUGCACGCCGCGAAUCUGCAGUAAUUAUUCGGCCGGCUGCAGAGGAAAAGCAAGCAGCAGCACAGAAGCGGAGGAGGUAACGCCGUUGGCCGUUGCCUGAUUCAUCCUCGCGCCGCCGGGGCUGCAAUAGAGCUCCGCCGUGGCUGCAUUGAAACGCCACCGGAGCUGCAUCGCAUCAUCCUCGCGCUACAUGGCAGCUUCAGUCGUCGUCGUCGUCAUGCUUUUUGUCGCAGCUUUCGCCAUGGCCGCCGCGUGCUGCGUCGCUGCAUCAGCCGUCAUCGCCGGCGCUGCAAUGAGUGCUCCCGGGGCUGCAAUGGAGGGACGUCGGCGCUCCGCCGCGACUGCAAUGGAGCACCGUCGGGGUGUUGGAGCUUUGUCCCAGUUGCAAUGGAGCUUCGCCGCGGCUGCAAUGGAGCACUGUCGGGGACGUUGGAGCUUCGCCGCGGUUGCAAUGGAGCUUCGCCGCGGCUGCAAUGGAGUACCAUCGGGGACGUCGGAGCUUCGCCGCGGCUGCAAUGAAGCGUCACUGGGAUGCAAUGGAGCAACCGGCGUCGACGGUGCUUCCAUGGAGUUGCAGUGGAGCUUCGCCGAGGUUUCGUCGGUGCUGCGUUGAAGCUUUAUUUGCAGUCCUUAGUGCUACCAUGGUGCAGGCCCCCGGUGAGUCUCGGCGCUGCGAUAUAGCGCGUCGCCGGCAGCUCUUUUUGGAGCGAUGAUGCAGCAUCUCCAGCUGCUCCAGGGCUGCGAGGUCGCCGGCGUAGGUGCCAUCCGUUGGUUUUUGUUGCACCAUGGCUGUGUUCAGAGGAGGCAUGGUGUGGAUUGACGAUGGGCUGAUGCACCUUCACUGCAGAGCGGGACGCGGUGUGGAUCGAAGGACUGCUGGGAUCGAACAUCACUAGGGCCAAUCGGACGGUUGACUAGGCGGAUGAAAUUAUUCGGUUGAUUCGUAGCAACCGUCAAUUCGUUUAGAGCUUUUUGGUUUGUAGGAAUGAAAUCCUAUUUUUAUGGAAGAAUUCUUUCUGUCCUUCACAUUUCAUAGGAAAAUACAUUAGCCUAGACUCAAUGAAAAAAAUCUUAUGAUGUGAAUCAAAGGGCAUCUCCUUUCCUAUUCUUAUUCAUAAGAUUUGAGAUACAUGUCAUCUCAUUUCCUAUGACUUUUCUAUUUCUAUAAUUUUCCUACCCUAUAAACUAAAGGAGGGCUCAAACUUGAUUCCAACAUUAAUUUCUAGUACGAGUUCAAUUAUAAUAUGCAGUACGGUUUCAACGA